rnacentral:lncRNA from 1 species
CCAUGUAGGGAAGCCAAAGUGUGAGUCUUACCCGGCUGGUUUACAACUGACUGACAUUUGCUGCCUGGGCAGCUGCUGUGGGUGUCUGGAAACCCUACUGGACUAGGACUGGCCCCAGCAAAAAACAAGUGUUAUAGCUGCCCAGUGUCCUCUGAGUGGAUGCUGGUGAUUCUGGUAUGGAGCCCAGAUGUAAGGCAGCAGGUGGUCCAGAAGGCACCAGAAGAGGUCUCCUGUCAAAGUCAGGGCCAGAGAAGAAGGCACAGGGAACCUACUGCACGAGACUUUCACUUGCAACGAGCAACCCAUGAUGAGGAGGGAGGAUUCCUGGGGGCAUUGAGUCCCCCAGACACAAGGACCCAAGACCUUCUUGCUUGGAAAGUGAAUUACUCAGAAUUCCGAGAUGAUGCCAGUCUUGGAGGAAGAUGACAUGAGGACCCAAAACCUUCUUGCUUGGAAAGUGAAUUCCUGAGAAUUCCGAGAUGAUGCCAGUCUUGGAGAAAGAUGACAUGAGGACCCAAAACCUUCUUGCUUGGAAAGUGAAUUCCUGAGAAUUCCGAGAUGAUGCCAGUCUUGGAGGAAGAUGACAUGAGGACCCAAAACCUUCUUGCUUGGAAAGUGAAUUUCUCAGAACUCCACGAAGACUCCAGUCUUGGAGGAAGAUGACAUGAGGACCCAAAACCUUCUUGCUUGGAAAGUGAAUUCCUCAGAACUCCACGAAGACUCCAGUCUUGGAGGAAGACGAGGUGUUGAGAGAUAGCUGGGAUCCCUGAGGAAGGCAGCCCCAGUCUCCGGUGGAGAAUUAAGAGGGGCCCAAGCAGAUGGUUGGUGGUGGAAACGUCACCUCAGUAUAGUACUAUGGAGUUUCCUUUCACCCCCAACAGCUGGUGGUUUCCAGGGGUGAAGAGUGAAAAUUGAAGCAAGGUGUCUACUGUCCAGCUGUAGACAAGGAGGCAGUGCGCCUGCCAUCCCCAAGGAAGAGUCAGUUCAGAAGCACAGCAGCUGCUGGAAACCCAGGAGGUUUCCAGUUCGUUCCUGCUGGGACCUGGCAAGAACUGCACUGUCAAGGCUGCAAGAGGCUCCUGACGGCUUCUGACAUGUACGGAAUGGAAUAAGAGAACCUAGCAGAAAUGGAAGCAGAGGCAAGAGGUCUGGAGGCCAGGAAAAUGUCAAUGGAAAGCAGCUAGCAUGAAGACCCCACAGUGUUCCUCCCUCUAGUAGUCUGGUAUUAUUUGGAGCUGAGAUGCUCCCAAUAUGGUUGGGACAUUUGUCCCCUCCAAAUCUCAUGUGAGAAUUUGAUCCCCCGCUUUGGGGAUGGGGUCUAAUGGGAGGAGUUUGGGUCAUGAUGGGGGACCCCUCAUGAAUGGCUUUGUGCCCUGCUCACCAGGAAUGAAUGAGCUCUCACUCUACUAGUUCACUGGAGAGCUGGUUGUUUAAAGAGCCUGGCAUCUCCCCCACUUUCUCUCUUGCUCCCCCUUCUCACUGUGUGAUAUACCUGCUCCCCUUUGCCAUCCAUCAUGAGUGGAAGCUUCUUGAAGCCUCCACCUAAAGCAGAUGCCGACACUAUGCUUCCUGCACAGCCUGCCAUACCAUGAGCCAAUAAACCUGUUUUCUUUGUAAAUU